UUUUUGAGACUGAAUAAGCCAUUCAAGAUAAAGACUAAAGAUGCAGAUAACACAGGAGGAGAGAUCCUAAUAUCUGACAUCCAGUGAAGAGGUCCACCAAGGAGACACACUGGGCACUUCUGACUUUCUUCCUGAGGCCUCAGAUUGCAGCGUAACGCACGGAUUGACAGUGAAGAACUGAAACUUACAGCUGAAGCUCUAUAAGAAAUCUAAACUAGAUCAAGAAAAGUUCUAUAUUUUUCCAGUGAUUAUAUUGACAGUCAAGGACCAGAAAAACUCAAAAUCAUUUUAAAAGCCUGGGCAUGUCUCAUACUCAUUGUUGACUGUAUAUAUGUACCGUAUUAGAAGAAGAAAUAUUUAAGAGUGUGGUUUUCUGUUCAAUUCCAUCUAUCUUACAUGUCAAGAAAGUUUAUGCUGCUUAUACCAGAACUCUGAAAAGAAUAUUGCAAAUGUAUGUUGAACUUGAGAAAAGAUUUAAAUCUGAACUAAUUUAUUUGAAAAAAU